rnacentral:rRNA from 1 species
GAACGCUGGCGGCGUGCUUAACACAUGCAAGUCGAACGAUGAUCCCAGCUUGCUGGGGGAUUAGUGGCGAACGGGUGAGUAACACGUGAGUAACCUGCCCUUGACUCUGGGAUAAGCCUGGGAAACUGGGUCUAAUACCGGAUAUGACUCCUCAUCGCAUGGUGGGGGGUGGAAAGCUUUUGUGGUUUUGGAUGGACUCGCGGCCUAUCAGCUUGUUGGUGGGGUAAUGGCCUACCAAGGCGACGACGGGUAGCCGGCCUGAGAGGGUGACCGGCCACACUGGGACUGAGACACGGCCCAGACUCCUACGGGAGGCAGCAGUGGGGAAUAUUGCACAAUGGGCGCAAGCCUGAUGCAGCGACGCCGCGUGAGGGAUGACGGCCUUCGGGUUGUAAACCUCUUUCAGUAGGGAAGAAGCGUAAGUGACGGUACCUGCAGAAGAAGCGCCGGCUAACUACGUGCCAGCAGCCGCGGUAAUACGUAGGGCGCAAGCGUUAUCCGGAAUUAUUGGGCGUAAAGAGCUCGUAGGCGGUUUGUCGCGUCUGCUGUGAAAGACCGGGGCUCAACUCCGGUUCUGCAGUGGGUACGGGCAGACUAGAGUGCAGUAGGGGAGACUGGAAUUCCUGGUGUAGCGGUGAAAUGCGCAGAUAUCAGGAGGAACACCGAUGGCGAAGGCAGGUCUCUGGGCUGUAACUGACGCUGAGGAGCGAAAGCAUGGGGAGCGAACAGGAUUAGAUACCCUGGUAGUCCAUGCCGUAAACGUUGGGCACUAGGUGUGGGGGACAUUCCACGUUUUCCGCGCCGUAGCUAACGCAUUAAGUGCCCCGCCUGGGGAGUACGGCC